AUGCUUAAGAUUGAUCUUGCAAAGGCUUUUGAUCGCUAUGAAUGGAAUUUUAUUGUUUACGCUCUGUCAAGUAAAGGGCUCCAUGGUCAUUUCAUUAAUUUGGUCUAUGCAUUCAUUUCUUCUCCCACGUUCUCUAUGCUCAUUAAUGGCCAGCCUUCUCAAAAGUUUAAAAGUUUCCGUGGAAUCCAACAAGGCUGUCCUAUGUCUCCUUACUUAUUCGUCCUUGCUAUUAAUGAACUUUCAAUUAUGCUCAAUGAAGCUUUGCAGGCUAGUCAUUUAAGGGAAAUUUCUCUUGGUCCAAAUUGCCCUUCUGUGCAUUCCCUCCUUUUUGCAAAUGAUCUUUUGGUUUGCGGGCAAGCUACUUUUCAGGAAGCUCAGACUAUGGCUAACUUGAUUCAACACUUUUGUGAUCUUUCUGGUCAAACCCCUAAUUGGAAU
rnacentral:rRNA from 1 species